UGGGGAAUUUUGGACAAUGGACGCAAGCCUGAUGCAGCCAUGCCGCAUGUAUGAAGAAGGCCUUCGGGUUGUAAAGUACUUUCAGCGAGGAGGAAGGCGAUAAGGUUAAUAACCUUGUCGAUUGACGUUACUCGCAGAAGAAGCACCGGCUAACUCCGUGCCAGCCGCCGCGGUAAUACGGAGGGUGCAAGCGUUAAUCGGAAUUACUGGGCGUAAAGCGCACGCAGGCGGUCUGUCAAGUCGGAUGUGAAAUCCCCGGGCUCAACCUGGGAACUGCAUUAGAAACUGGCUGGCUAGAGUCUUGUAGAGGGGGGUAGAAUUCCAGGUGUAGCGGUGAAAUACGUAGAGAUCUGGAGGAAUACCGGUGGCGAAGGCGGCCCCAUGGACAAAGACUGACGCUCAGGUGCGAAAGCGUGGGGAGCAAACA
rnacentral:rRNA from 1 species